UACAGAGGGUGCAAGUGUUGUUCGGAAUUACUGGGCGUAAAGCGCGUGUAGGCUGCGGAGUAAGUCGAAUGUGAAAUCCCUUGGCUUAACCAAGGAAGUGCAUCCGAUACUGUUUCGCUUGAGUGUCGGAGGGGAUGGCGGAAUUCCCGGUGUAGAGGUGAAAUUCGUAGAUAUCGGGAGGAACACCUGUGGCGAAGGCGGCCAUCUGGACGACAACUGACGCUGAGACGCGAAAGCGUGGGUAGCAAACAGGAUUAGAUACCCUGGUAGUCCACGCUGUAAACGAUGAGUGCUAGUCGUCGUGGGUAUUGACCCCUGCGGUGACGAAGUUAACACGUUAAGCACUCCGCCUGGGGAGUACGGUCGCAAGAUUAAA
rnacentral:rRNA from 1 species